GUGAACGCUGGCGGUAGGCCUAACACAUGCAAGUCGAACGGCAGCACAGUAAGAGCUUGCUCUUACGGGUGGCGAGUGGCGGACGGGUGAGGAAUACAUCGGAAUCUACUUUUUCGUGGGGGAUAACGUGGGGAAACUUACGCUAAUACCGCAUACGACCUACGGGUGAAAGCAGGGGAUCUUCGGACCUUGCGUGAUUGAAUGAGCCGAUGUCGGAUUAGCUAGUUGGCGGGGUAAAGGCCCACCAAGGCGACGAUCCGUAGCUGGUCUGAGAGGAUGAUCAGCCACACUGGAACUGAGACACGGUCCAGACUCCUACGGGAGGCAGCAGUGGGGAAUAUUGGACAAUGGGCGCAAGCCUGAUCCAGCCAUACCGCGUGGGUGAAGAAGGCCUUCGGGUUGUAAAGCCCUUUUGUUGGGAAAGAAAAGCAGCAGGUUAAUACCCCGCUGUUCUGACGGUACCCAAAGAAUAAGCACCGGCUAACUUCGUG
rnacentral:rRNA from 1 species